AGUUAUAAGUGACCUGUAUAAACCUCAUAUUCUAUCAGUUGAUGGUGAUGGUGUACUGCAUCUGGUGCAGCCUCCUGUUGAGCCAGACCAACAUGCAGUUGUGAGUACUCUUAAUACUCCACAGAUUAUAUGAGUUUACAGUAGAACAGCAAUGUUGUUAAUGUCUUUACUACAGGAAAAUAAUGAAGAAACAUUGACAGCUGUUACAGAGGAGGAAGCAACAGAGACACUUUAUGAGAGUGAUGAUGGAAAUGCAGAGGAAGAGGGUCCAGCCACUUCUCCAACAAACCUUUCCUCACUCCCUGUAAAGCAGCUGUACAAGACCUAUUUGAUCAAGAAAAUAAAA